rnacentral:rRNA from 1 species
CUGGUUCAUAUUGUGCCAGCAGCAGCGGUAAAACAAGUGGUGUUAACGUUCUAGGGUUUUUUUAGGUGUAAAUAGUGAGAUUGAUUGUUGUUGCUUGUUACCUAUCCAACCCUAAAGACUCAUGAGUUGAUGUGGUGUUGAAAGGUUCCUUGAAAUAGUGAAAUGUCUAGAGAAUGAAUGUAGCAUUGAGUUGAUAUUGGUUGCUUUGAAAGAAAGAUUUUCUCUUCACGAUAGCUUGCAUCUGUGACAGGGAUUAGAUACCCCAUUAGUUCAAGAGGGAAAUUCUGGCUUCUCGUAGUUUGGAUCUCUUUUUAGCAUUGGAAGGUUUUAAACCUAAGGAGUACGCUUUCAUCAGUGAAACUUAAAGGUUCUGGUGGUGGUUUAGAGCAAUAGUGGAAUAGAUUCUUUAAUUCGAUGUUCUGCGAUAAAGCUUAUCAGUAAGAUCCAAUCAUCUCAGGAGAUGGAACUAUCUUGACCACAUGUUAAUGAUACUGUAGUGCAUGGCUGU